AAGAAAGCAUAAAUUACUGAACACUUGCACAUGUACUAUCAUGAACAAUAUUAAUUUGCAAAUGACCUUUUAAGAAGCAUGUGGACAACACUGGAAAGAUUGGAUGGAUCAUACACAAGUAAUAAUGAACUAUCUAUGAGGAGGGAGUAUGUGGACCACACUGGAAAGAUUGAAUGGAUCAUACACGAGUAAACGAGAAUAAUCUAUGACCAUUGUCUGGAUGUAGAGCAUUUUUGAAGUUAUCAAUUAUUAUAUAGGAAUAUUCGCGAGCGAGCGAGCAAUUAAUUAACCAGCAACUGAAGGUCCCCUGGACCGCACUAAAGAAGAGGUUGGAAGAGGUCCUCAAUCAGAUCAGAAUGCACUCUUCCCCCGCUCUACUUAUAUUUAUCCAUAAUGGAUAGUCACAAUAUAUUUCUUAUUUUAUUUACUGAG